rnacentral:rRNA from 1 species
UACGAAGGGGGCUAGCGUUGUUCGGAAUUACUGGGGGUAAAGCGUAUGCAGGCGGACUUUUAAGUCGGGGGUGAAAUCCCGAGGCUCAACCUCGGAACUGCCUUCGAUACUGGAAGUCUUGAGUCCGGGAGAGGUGAGUGGAACUCCGAGUGUAGAGGUGAAAUUCGUAGAUAUUCGGAAGAACACCAGUGGCGAAGGCGGCUCACUGGCCCGGUACUGACGCUGAGAUACGAAAGCGUGGGGAGCAAACAGG